rnacentral:rRNA from 1 species
UACGUAGGGUGCAAGCGUUAUCCGGAAUUAUUGGGCGUAAAGAGCUCGUAGGCGGUUUGUCGCGUCUGCUGUGAAAACCGGAGGCUCAACCUCCGGCCUGCAGUGGGUACGGGCAAACUAGAGUGCGGUAGGGGAGAUUGGAAUUCCUGGUGUAGCGGUGGAAUGCGCAGAUAUCAGGAGGAACACCGGUGGCGAAGGCGGGUCUCUGGGCCGAAACUGACGCUGAGGAGCGAAAGCGUGGGGAGCAAACAGG